GGCAGGGGCUGCGUCGGGUUUGUUAGCUCUGGUUUCCCUGGGCCAGCCUUGUCUGCCCCCUGCAGGCCACCCUGGGCGGGGCUCUCUCAGGUUCCCAGUGCAUGGGUGUCCCAUGGCUGAACCUGCUGCAGAGCCCAGCUGUGAGCCAGUGACCGGCCCCACCUAACACCACCGCAGGGUCACUUCACCAGGGCGGCCGUGUCUGUGGGCCGGGGAGCCGCCGGACCCAGAAGCAUGUCGGGGUCUCAGAAGUGUCUGUGAGAAGGGCCUGGAGCAGGGCCGCUCUGCCCCGGUGGAACGCACCUGCUGCCCUGCACUUCGCCUCCGUCUCCUCCCCUGCUUCGGACGGGGCCCACACGGUGUCCACGGCCCUCCCAGGAGGCUUCGCCCAUCCAGGACCUUCGGGCGCGCGGCCCCUUGCCCACCGGGGAAGGGGGAGGGCUCUGAGGGUGUUGGGAAGCCCCCUCCCAUGUUGAAAGGUCCUGGUUGAGCACCUGGGGGCCCCGGAGGCCACGUGGGGGGGUGAACACUGGGGAUCCAGGAAUCUCGGCCCCCCAUUUUCAAGCCCCUGGAGCAUCCUUUAGGCCCUUUGAAUAAUAAAGAGACGCUAUGCAGUGUGAA